rnacentral:rRNA from 1 species
AUUGAACGCUGGCGGCAGGCCUAACACAUGCAAGUCGAACGAGUGGCGGACGGGUGAGUAAUGUCUGGGAAACUGCCUGAGAGAGGGGGAUAACUAGUGGAAACGGUAGAUAAUACCGCAUACCAUCAGAUGUGCCCAUAUGGGAUUAGCUAGUAGGUGGGUGAAAGGCUCACCUAGGCGACGAUCCCUAGCUGGUCUGAGAGGAUGACCAGCCACACUGGAACUGAGACACGGUCCAGACUCCUACGGGAGGCAGCAGUGGGGAAUAUUGCACAAUGGGCGCAAGCCUGAUGCAGCCAUGCCGCGGGUAUGAAGAAGGCCUUCGGGUUGUAAAGUACUUUCAGCGGGGAGGCGUUACCCGCAGAAGAAGCACCGGCUAACUCCGUGCCAGCAGCCGCGGUAAUUC